rnacentral:ncRNA from 1 species
AUAUGUACUAUGAUGAAGAAGAGUAAUUUUAAAAUCUUUUUUAGAGAGAUAACGGUUGGUGAAAGUUAUUAAAGGUUUAAAAUGAAGGGAGCUUUUGAGUACAAUUAUUUUGAGAGAUGAGCUUUUGCUAAAAAGGGUGGAACCGCGGAAUUUUAUUUCGUCCCUUUG